GCUCCGGUGGCCUAGUGGUUUGAGCGUCCGCCUCGGUUGCGAAAAGUCGCGAGUUCGAUCCCCGGCUGAGUCA